rnacentral:rRNA from 1 species
AUGGAUAAGCACCGAGGCGAAAUGGCGCGCUGGCUCGACAUCCUCGUCGCCAAGGGGGUCCAAGAACUCGUCUUUGUCAACCGCCCUUGGCCGAUUGACCUGCGCCUCCCCGCCACGAUCUUCAGCUGCGCCUCCCUCACCCGCCUCUACCUCGGCAUCUGGAGGCUCCCGGACACCGCCGCUGUGCCGCGCAGUGUCAGCUUCCCCAACCCCCGGGAGCUCGGCCUCUGCUGGAAUGUCAUGGAGGACCGUGACCUCGCCUUCAUGCUUGAAAGAAGCCCCGUCCUGGAGUUCCUCGGCAUAAUGGGGAGCCAGACCGGAGUGCGCGUCCGCCUCGUCAGCCACAGCCUGCGCUGCGUCCAGCUCGGCUUUUCUUUCAUGGAGGACAUCGACGUGGUGGAUGCCCCUCGCCUGGAGAGGCUCUUCCAAUGGGAAACUGUUUCCGCGGUCAAUAGCCGGGCCAUGGCGAACCGCUCUUUCAGAAUCAAGAUUGGGCAUGCACCUAACCUGCGUGUGCUGGGAUACCUUCAGCCUGGAGAGCAAGAGCUGGUCGUCGUGGCUGGGAGCAAGGAGAGCAUUGUUCCAAGUGCCCAGAUUUUGGCCAUGGAGGUGCAGUUCGGUGUGCGCAAUGCUGUCAAGAAAGUGCCUGGCUUUCUCCGCUGUUUCCCCAACCUGGAGACUCUCCAUGUCCAGUCCACCCGCAUACUUGAGGAGUCCACUGGCAAGGUCAAUCUCAAGUUCUGGCAGGAGGGCGGCCCCAUCGAAUGCAUCCUGCGGAGCAUGAAGAAGUUGUUCUUCUACGAGUUCCGAGGGUCGAGAAGCGAGCUUACUUUCCUCAAGUUUAUCGCGGAGAGAGGUCGGGUGCUGGACCAGAUGGUGGUUGUGGUGGCCAGUGAGUAUUUCUCGUCAGGGGACAAUGUCAAUGCCAAGCUGAAGCCUCUGACCAAUGCGAAAUGGAGCAGCAAAGCUUGCAAAUUAGAGCUCUUCAGAAGCCCAUUCGAGGAGGUGUCAGGUCCUCCUUACUGCCACGAGAUAGCUUCUGAUUUUGGGUUUGCUGACCCUUUUGACCUCCAGUACUACGCCGAAGCAGAAAUGAUCUCUAUAAGUUAA